rnacentral:lncRNA from 1 species
UCAGAUGGUCUUUCUGUUGAUGCUGAGGUAUUAUGCUACUGUACUGAAGGUGCCAGACACAAAGAGGGGGCAAAAAGGGGAGUUUAGAGAGAAAACCCCCAACCUAACCUCUAACGAAACGAAACCAUUUGCAACGCGCGGAAGUUUUAGGCUUGGGGUAAAAAUUUCAAAACUUAGAAUCACUGUUUCUAGACGUUUUUUAGCCUCCUGAAUGUAUCCCCAAAAGUUUCAAUAUUUUUCAUGAAAUUUCACGCGUGAAUUUCACUCGAAUAAAUUUCAUGAAAUUUUCCAUCUCUGGCCACCAUGAUUUAGGCCACUUCUAUGCCACUCCAGCUUCUUGGCUUUUGAUAGUGAAAUUCUGGGAGGGGGGUGUCAAGAUGAGGUUAUGUUUGAUUGUUUGGAUCCAGUUCGACACAAUCGAUACCGACUGUGACGUAGCACUAAUAGCGUCUAUGCUCUACCCUAACCGAAAGUAAACAACCGUCAACUUAUUGUUAGCUGACGACACCUCUACUCCAACUCAGCUUAUCUUAUUGCAAUAUAAGUCAAGUAACACAGUUAUGAAACUGGAAAGAGGUAUCAUACUCGACAAACUCAGUCGCACGAUGCAAACUUUUCAAUUUUUGGAAUUGAAGGAACUGAGCAGUGCCCUUUGUCCUGAGCUACUCUCUGUCUCUGACAUAUUGAAUAAACUGAAAAAAGCAAAGCAAAAACUGUCCGCGAAAGCGUUUAGAGAAAUGGCCUUAUUGAAUUUUAUGGAAUUAGCAAAUGAAGAACUUCUACGGCUCAGCCAUUGCUUGCAAUUAUUCGAUAAAGCCUACCAUGGCGGAAAGACAAACUGGGCUUGCAUCGAGCUUCUAGAAAGAAUCAAUAACCGAUUUAAUUCAAGAUCAACUAUUGAUGAAGUAUCUGAAGCAAUUUUGCAAAAUAUUCGUAUCAACAAAGAAAAUGCUUUUGUAGAAGUCAUACAGCACACGAACGGAAUUUUUUACAUUUUGAUUCAGGAGAAGAAAAUAAUCCAAGGAAAGGUGUAUCUCUUAGAAGUCCAGUUUACUGUGCAUGUGACCUGGAUGAGCCAUAUUUAUUUGUGUCGCCCAAAGGGGCUGUACAUAAUCAUAUUUUACUGGCAAGUACCAUAAGACUUCAUCAUCUUUUUAUUUUAUUUUAACUUUCUUGUUCCCCUUGCAGGUAGAAGAAGUAUUGUCAUCAGAGAAAAAAGAAGAAGAAAAAAUUGAACUUCAUCAUUGCUAGGCGUUAUAAGCUGCCUGCAGUAGAAAAAAAAAAAAAAAAACCAUAUUUGAAAAAAUGUGUGUGUCAGUGUAAAAAAUGUAUUUGUUCAACUUAAUUGAAACUUGGCAUGGAGGACCACAUCUAUUGCGCCUGUAUGGACGUCAAUUGAUUCUGGGGUACGCCAAAAUUUGGUGGGGUUACAGGCAAAACUUGAUUUUUUUUUAUCAAUUUCACUUGGAAGGCUCUCUUUGAAGGACUGUGGAUUUUGAAAAAAUGCCUUCAAUUCUUUUAAAGUUAGCAUCUAGCACCACCUGGUUAUUAAUUUAAGUUUCUAAAAGAUCUUCGGACGAAACUCAAAAUUCGAGGGUCCAAGUCAUCUAUUGAGGGCCUCAAGAUCUAGGUGGGUAGUUCGGGACUAAACAUGAAUUUCUAACUAAUGAACUAAAUUCAUGAAGAUCGAAGGUAUAAAAACGGCGCUGCGCGCCGUUUUAUUCGGAGGGCUUCGCCCCCCUGACGCGCGCGCUUUUUAGUUUGAAUGUCCGGCCUCAGUUGUUCUAUCUCUUCAAGCGACCCGCGCGUCCACCGCGGGAAGAGUGUAUUU